AAUUUCAGUUAUUGUAGGUGGAAAUAUUUUUCACCAGAUUGUGGUAUAUUGUGUAAUUGAUGAUUACUGAUAUUUACCACUAAACAUUUAAUCUUUCCAGUGCUCCCUAUAUUAAACUUUUUUAAGCAGUCAUAUUACUACAUAAGUAAUAAACACUGGGAUUAUAAAAAUUGGCUGUCGUGUUUGUAUUCCAGAUGCUGAGCUAACAGUUUUUUGGGGGGGGAAGGUUAGUUCAUAAUGAAAAUGACUGUUAGACAGAGUCUUUCUGAUUGCAAUCCAGGCUGAUUUUCUAGAACAAUCACAGAAAUGCAGUCUCUGGAGGAAUGGAAUGUUAACUAUGACCUCAAGAACCUACAAUAUCACGUAACAAAGGCAACAGUUCUGAGAAGCAAGCUGUUUUUUUUAAACUGAAUUGUUGGAUGAUGUUGAUGAGAAUUUAAUUUCAGAGCUCAAAGACACUUGGCAAGCAUUUCAACUUCCUGUCUACACAGAAGUUGACAAAGAUGAUGUUCCCGAUUGAUUUGAAAAUGAUGCUAAUGGUCCUGGCCAUCAUGCUGAAAUAAAUAGAGACUGUACAACAUGCUCUCAGUGAUGAAGAAGCUGCAGAUUCUGCUGAGGAAGAAGUGACAGAAAAAAUCUUACUAUAAUGCAGAGAGGCAACCUCUUCCUUCAGUACUUGAAGUAACAGCAUGAUACCAACCUCACUGAAAUAUUGUUGAUGAAGUGACACCAUGAUGGCACAAUGAGGAGAAACUCUCAUCUAAAUAUAAUCUGUCAGAUUGUUUUCCAGCCAUUAUAAAUACGAGGACUGCUCUAUAUACCAUUGUGCUAUAUACCCUCUGGAUACAUCUACACUGUAGGGUUUUUCCAAGGAACGCAUUUGCUCUUCCGCUUUUUUUUUGUGUAAGAUCAAAUGUGCUCUUUCGGGAGCCCAGUAUGACUCGUUCUACGAGGGACAAAGGCUCCACUGAAAGAGAAGGCUUUUCCACCAUUUGGCCCCAUCUAGACUGGGUCAAAUGGUGGAAAAGCCUCUUCAGGAAAAGCUAUCGGAAAAAGCUAUGCAAAUUGCACAGUGCAAGUUGUGUAGCUUUUUUCCCAAAAAACCCUAUAGAGUAGACCUAGCCUCAAUGGAUUAUUCUGGGAGGGUUCUGUGGCCUGUAUUCCACAAGAUAUCAAACUAGAAGAUCACAAUGAUCUCUUCAGCUACAUGGAAUCUAUACAUCUAUUAAUAUUACAGUCUAGAAUAUGAAACCAUGUGUUACUUUAUAAGUAUGCUAGAAAGAUUAUAUUUUAUUGGUGAAUGUCAAUUUUAUCCAUAUACACACAAACCGAUAAAAAUAUAUCCAUUGAUUAUCAUGUACAUUUACAGAUAGGCAAAAUAAGAAAAUUUCUGCUUCAGAACUUAGUAUAGUGUGUUUUAUAGAUAAUUACUUUUUGUGUUUUGACAUGUUGAUAGAUUUUGUGUUUAAGAAUUCUGAAACUUUAACUUUUGAAUCUCAGUGUCAACUGAAAAGAAACAAUUGCCUGACUCCCACAUUGUCUGACCUCCCCCAUAAUUCCAAUAUGAAAAUUAAAAUGAUGAAUAUUUAAAAAGU